UGGGGAAUUUUGGACAAUGGGGGAAACCCUGAUCCAGCCAUCCCGCGUGUGCGAUGAAGGCCUUCGGGUUGUAAAGCACUUUUGGCAGGAAAGAAACGUCAUGGGUUAAUACCCCGUGAAACUGACGGUACCUGCAGAAUAAGCACCGGCUAACUACGUGCCAGCAGCCGCGGUAAUACGUAGGGUGCAAGCGUUAAUCGGAAUUACUGGGCGUAAAGCGUGCGCAGGCGGUUCGGAAAGAAAGAUGUGAAAUCCCAGAGCUCAACUUUGGAACUGCAUUUUUAACUACCGGGCUAGGGUGUGUCAGAGGGGGGUGGAAUUCCGCGUGUCGCAGUGAAAUGCGUAGAUAUGCGGAGGAACACCGAUGGCGAAGGCAGCCUCCUGGGAUAACACUGACGCUCAUGCACGAAAGCGUGGGGAGCAAACAGG
rnacentral:rRNA from 1 species